rnacentral:rRNA from 1 species
UAGGGAAUCUUCCACAAUGGACGCAAGUCUGAUGGAGCAACGCCGCGUGAGUGAAGAAGGUUUUCGGAUCGUAAAGCUCUGUUGUUGGUGAAGAAGGAUAGAGGUAGUAACUGGCCUUUAUUUGACGGUAAUCAACCAGAAAGUCACGGCUAACUACGUGCCAGCAGCCGCGGUAAUACGUAGGUGGCAAGCGUUGUCCGGAUUUAUUGGGCGUAAAGCGAGCGCAGGCGGAAGAAUAAGUCUGAUGUGAAAGCCCUCGGCUUAACCGAGGAACUGCAUCGGAAACUGUUUUUCUUGAGUGCAGAAGAGGAGAGUGGAAUUCCAUGUGUAGCGGUGGAAUGCGUAGAUAUAUGGAAGAACACCAGUGGCGAAGGCGACUCUCUGGUCUGCAACUGACGCUGAGGCUUGAAAGCAUGGGUAGCGAACAGG